rnacentral:rRNA from 1 species
GACGAACGCUGGCGGCGUGCUUAACACAUGCAAGUCGAACGAUGAAGCUGGAGCUUGCCCCGGUGGAUUAGUGGCGAACGGGUGAGUAACACGUGGGCAAUCUGCCCUUGACUCUGGGAUAACUGCGGGGAACUGUAGCUAAUACCGGAUACUUUCACUGGAAGGCAUCUUCUGGUGAAGAAAGAAUUUCGGUCAAGGAUGAGCUCGCGGCCUAUCAGCUUGUUGGUGAGGUAACGGCUCACCAAGGCGACGACGGGUAGCCGGCCUGAGAGGGGGCCCGGCCACCCUGGGACUGAGACACGGCCCAGAAUCCUUCGGGAGGCAGCAGUGGGGAAUUUUGCACAAUGGGCGCAAGCCUGAUGCAGCAACGCCGCGUGAGGGAUGAAGGCCUUCGGGUUGUAAACCUCUUUUAGCAGGGAAGAAGCGAAAGUGACGGUACCUGCAGAAAAAGCACCGGCUAACUACGUGCCAGCCGCCGCCGUAA